GGGAAUGUGGCUUAGUGGUAGAGUGCUUGCCUAGCAUGCAUGAAGUCCUUGGUUCGAUUCCUCAGUACCA
rnacentral:tRNA from 1 species